rnacentral:rRNA from 1 species
GAUGAACGCUGACAGAAUGCUUAACACAUGCAAGUCGAUUCGAUUUACCUUCGGGUAUUGAGGAUGGCGGACGGGUGAGUAACGCGUAAGGAACUUGCCUCUUGGUCUGGGACAACUGUUGGAAACGACAGCUAAUACCGGAUAUUAUGAGAUUCUCGCAUGGGAAACUUAUGAAAGCUAUAUGCGCCAAGAGAGAGCCUUGCGUUCCAUUAGCUAGUUGGUGGGGUAACGGCCCACCAAGGCGACGAUGGAUAGCCGGCCUGAGAGGGUGAACGGCCACAAGGGGACUGAGACACGGCCCUUACUCCUACGGGAGGCAGCAGUGGGGAAUAUUGGACAAUGGGCCACAAGCCUGAUCCAGCAAUUCUGUGUGCACGAUGAAGGUCUUCGGAUUGUAAAGUGCUUUCAGUUGGGAAGAAGAAAGUGACGGUACCAACAGAAGAAGCGACGGCUAAAUACGUGCCAGCAGCCGCGGUAAUACGUAUGUCGCAAGCGUUAUCCGGAUUUAUUGGGCGUAAAGCGCGUCUAGGCGGAAAAAUAAGUCUGAUGUUAAAAUGCGGGGCUCAACUCCGUAUUGCGUUGGAAACUGUUUUUCUAGAGUACUGGAGAGGUGGGCGGAACUACNAGUGUAGAGGUGAAANUCGUAGAUAUUUGUAGGAAUGCCGAUGGAGAAGUCAGCUCACU